CAUUUAUAUUUUGCAUAGUUGUGCUAGUUAAGUAUUAUUAAGGUUACUAAAUGUUAUAUUGUUUUAGGUUGUGCUUUUCUAUGAUCGCUUUCAGUAUAUCUGGUCUACAAAUCAUAACAUCAAAUACAGUACAUACAGUUAUCAAGACAAUACAUGCAUGCACCUUUUAACAUGAGAGUAUAAGAAACUCCAUGAAUAAUCAGAAAGAGUUAUAAAUAGAGAUAAUGUCUAUUGGCAAUUUGGUGCCUGCUAUAGUCAUUCCUUCUAAAAGCUUUAGCUCAGAUUGGUAUCUUUCUAUAAAAGUUACAGUAUAGGAGGACAUGAACCAUUGUUUCAAUUGAGCUGUUUUUGCAAGGGACAAACUGUCAAGUGCCAAGGGCAGCCUGGAAAAUUGACCCUAAAUGCUGAUAGCAAAGCACUGAACCAGCACAUGGAAAUGUUCUUCUGUUACCUAGGGAUAUUCAAAAUUGCUAAAUACCUAGCAAAUCAAUGAUCUCUUUUAGGUUCUAGACUAAAGGACAGUGGUGAAAAAAAAACACCCCCAAUAUGUCAGACUUGACAAAUUUUGCAAGUUAUGAUCUAGAAGCCUCUUUAAUGUAGCUGGUUGCUUUUUCUAACCCAAGUGACAGAAGAUGGUGUUGACUUUGUUGCUGAAUCCAGCAGCAAGUUGAGCUAUCAAGAAAAAGGCCAGGGAUAGGUAGUCAUAAUCUGUUGAGGAUGAAUAUAGACAAAUCCUAUACUGCUGGGGCACCAAAGAUCUCAAAAAAAUAGUUUGUGUCCUCUCCUCUCUUGCGAUUGAUUGAUUGAUUGAUUGAUUGAUUCCUAAUAUGCACACCUGGAUUAUGUACAUAGUUUUGGUAAUUCCUUUGUUUUGGGGGCACCUUCAAACUAAAGGUAUAUGCUCAUCAUCCUUUGCACAGCAGAACCUCAACAAUGCCACUGGAAUAGUCCAUGCACUCAAUGCAAUAUUUUGAAUUCAAAAUGACCAGGAUAGAGUGGACUGAAAAGUAACUCUCAAGUAGUUUCAAUUACUAACUUGUUUUAUGACAUGCCCAUCCAGGGUCCAUUUGUAUGUCUCAUACCCUUUUGUAAAAAAUCAGCCCUUUGUUUUUGUGUUAAAGAAUAAAAAGAAUGAACCUGAAUCCUACUUAAAAGUAAGCCCUGGCUAACAUUACACCUAAUCAAGGGUAAGGCUAGGAGGGCAUGUGGUGGGAAUUAGCUCUAGUAAGGACAGAGGGCCUCCCAAGGUCUAAUGGCCCACCCCUUUAACCAUGAUGGAGGGACUGUAAAUAUCAUGUGUGAAGUAGCUCCAUGUGAUAUUGGCUUUCUAGAUUUCAUAACAAUAUAUAAAUUCUACCCCAAGCAUUUGGAAGAAAUAGCAAUCCCACUGCUUUGCCCUAAUAUGAAAGCACAUCAGAGCAGUUUAGCCGAGACAAGGAAAACAUUUUAAAACAUCACCGAAUGCCUUUAUCAUGGUUUAGAAAACACAUAUGGAUGCUCUUUAAAGCAAUUUUGCCUCAGUUUGCAAUUUGCUGCACAAUUCAAACUCUCUUGUAAUAUCACAUUCAGCUGCUAAAAUAAUAAAAAUGCUAUUCUUUCAUUUCAGUUAAAGCUUUCUUCUGCUUGAGCCUUUGUCACAGUGAUAAAUAGCACUAUUAGGAAGCUUGCAUCUACAGAAGCAACCCCAUCACGAUAUCAUAAAAUAAAAAAGCCAACCAAAAAGAGAGAUAGAGAAGCCUGCAAUCAAAUCCUUGGUAUCAAAAACCAGUUCUGUCAGUAUAUGACAGUGUUAAUCUUCUAGAAUGCAUUCACUUUCCUUAACAAACUAACUCCUCAUUAAUUAAGACAGGUGAAUAGUAAAAUGCUCUGGAUUGAACCAAAAAGGGUGAGGUAUACUUAUUAAAAUUUCUGCAAAUGAUUUGUGAAAUCAGGUGGGUCCAAAUUCGUAAAGCUCACAGUGAUGCUACCCAAAUAUUACAACAUGUCUACAUCUUUGCGCGAAAGAAUGCCUGCAAAAAUUUAAGUAUCUUAAAAAUCAUGCCAUAUAAUCAUAGCUAGGAGGCAAAAGCACAAGAAGCUGUGACUACCAGGGACCUGAGAUCACAGGAGCAGGAGCAUUAGGGGGAAGAAAAGUUUGCAAGCCAUAUGUGCAACCCACACACAGUCCCCUUGUGUAACUUGCACAUAUGUUUUUCUGUACAGAAUCUUGCUAGAAGAAAUCAACAACUCCAUCUUAUGGGUUGGUUAAAAAAAAAAAAUUAGUUGCUGUGGUUGCAGAUUAUUAAGUUGCUAAUUAACUUGAACAUUUGAUGGCUAUAUUUCAAAAGGUGGCAUUCAAGUUCAUCUUCUACUCUAACCAAAUGGCCUGGUUAGAUGGCUAUUGAGCAGUGUCAUGCUUUGCAUGGUGUGUGUUUUUUUAAGAAACAUGUUUGUUGCUAUUUGGUUGAACACAUGCUGUGAAAGUGCUAACUUCCAAACAUAGUCUCAGGCUACUUUCAGACUACACUAUUUUGUAGAUGAUACUCAGUACUCUGCCAGCAAAUUUUGUGCAAUUAAAGCAAAUUUGGCCCUCUUGCAUACAACAACAUUUCUGUGGUCAGAAAAGUGACAGGAAAAUGAACUGGAAAGUGUGGGAUGACAGCAAUGUCAUAUUACCUCUAAGCAACCAAAGCGGAAUGAAUGCUCAAUGAGCAACUUGUCUGGAAGAGCCCUAAAACUAGAAACCAGUUGAAAGAUGCAUGUAGUCCCUGAGGUGUUCAACAUUGCUUUUGUUUCAAAAAGUCUAACCAUGAGGGGUCAUAACCUUCUACUUGUUCCUUCAAGCUGAUGAUCGAUUGAGUCCUACCACGCCACAUCCAUCUCUUUCCCAUCUACUCAACAACUGCAAUUAGUUAAUAUUGUCUGCUUCUUCAUUCAUGUGUUCCACUUAAUCCAUCAAUGUGAUUGCUAAUGCGGCUCCGUAGAUGCCAAAGAAUAAUCAGGGAUGGAUAUUAUUAUGGCAUGCUCUAUAGUUGAAAAUGCGAGGGAAAUGUUGCUGAAUGAGGACUGGCUAUGGAAGAGGAAAAAUAAGAGCGCCAACUUCCCGAGGGGAAUAAUUUGCAUAGCAGGUGCUAGUUUUAUGAUGUGAGUCUGAAUUGAUCAUCUAAAAAUAUAUCGUUGUUUUAACUUUUAUAUCACAUAGAAGCCUGCCAAAUGCUCUAACAGCCUGGAUUGCAUUCCCUAUUGGGCUUUUAGACCAAAAGACCAACAGACAACAUAAGUUGGGCUUAGGUUAUGUUAAGAUAUAGCAAAUGCAAAUGUGAGGCAUUAAUUGCCACACUCAACCCACCAGUCAUUUCACCCAGAACUUCUCAGCAGAAAUACUGCACAGCCCUCUUCCACAAGUUCAUAAAAUAUUCAAUAUACAAAUCAGAUCAUUUUGAAGUGAAAAGGUAAAAAACCACCACCACCAAAUCUAUACUUGGUGGCAGAAAAACAGCUCUCAACCCCAAAAACCUUCAGAUUUAAAAUAAAGUAUAAAAUAUGGUUAUCAGCUAAACUGGCUUUUCUAAAGAUUUCACUUUAUUCUAGCUGUUAGAAAUGGUCUGAUAAGCAACUUCAAUUUAUUAAUAACAGGGUUUU
rnacentral:lncRNA from 1 species